AGAGUUUGAUCCUGGCUCAGGAUGAACGCUAGCGGCAGGCCUAAUACAUGCAAGACGAACGGUAAGAUUUGUAGCAAUACGGAUCCUAGAGUAGCGUAAGGGUGCGUAACACGUAUGCAAUCUACCCACAACAGGAGGAUAGCUCUUCGAAAGGGGAAUUAAGACUCCAUAAGACCACGAGAGGGCAUCUGAUAGUGGUUAAACUACAAGGGGUUGUGGAUGAGCAUGCGUCUGAUUAGUUAGUUGGCGGGGUAACGGCCCACCAAGACGAUGAUCAGUAGGGGAACUGAGAGGUUGGUCCCCCACACUGGCACUGAGAUACGGGCCAGACUCCUACGGGAGGCAGCAGUAGGGAAUAUUGGACAAUGGGUGCAGGCCUGAUCCAGCCAUGCCGCGUGCAGGAAGAAAGCCUUCUGGGUUGUAAACUGCUUUUUUCAGGGGAUAAAAGGCCCGUGCGCGGGACAUUGAAAGUACCUGGAGAAUAAGCCACGGCUAACUACGUGCCAGCAGCCGCGGUAAUACGUAGGUGGCGAGCGUUGUCCGGAUUUAUUGGGUUUAAAGGGUGCGUAGGCGGCUCAUUAAGUCAGUUGUGAAAUACGACAGCUUAACUGUCGAGGUGCAAUUGAUACUGGUGAGCUUGAGUACUGAUGAGGUAGGCGGAAUGGACGGUGUAGCGGUGAAAUGCUUAGAGAUCGUCCAGAACACCGAUAGCGAAGGCAGCUUACUAAGGAGUAACUGACGCUGAGGCACGAAAGUGUGGGGAUCAAACAGGAUUAGAUACCCUGGUAGUCCACACUGUAAACGAUGAUUACUCGAUGUUGGCGAUACACAGCCAGCGUCUUAGCAAAAGCGAUAAGUAAUCCACCUGGGGAGUACGCCGGCAACGGUGAAACUCAAAGGAAUUGACGG
rnacentral:rRNA from 1 species